rnacentral:rRNA from 1 species
UGCCAGCCGCCGCGGUAACACGUAGGGGGCAAGCGUUGUCCGGAUUUACUGGGCGUAAAGAGCUCGUAGGCGGUUCGGUAAGUUGGGUGUGAAAACUCCAGGCUCAACCUGGAGAGGCCACUCAAUACUGCUGUGACUAGAGUUCGGUAGAGGAUCGUGGAAUUUCUGGUGUAGCGGUGAAAUGCGCAGAUAUCAGAAGGAACACCAACGGCGAAGGCAGCGAUCUGGGCCGAUACUGACGCUGAGGAGCGAAAGCAUGGGGAGCAAACAGGAUUAGAUA